GGUUCUAGCUCAGUGGUAGAGCGCUCACCUAGCACAUGUGAGACCCUGGGUUCAAUCCUCAGCACCA
rnacentral:tRNA from 1 species